rnacentral:rRNA from 1 species
UACGGAGGGGGCUAGCGUUGUUCGGAAUUACUGGGCGUAAAGCGCACGUAGGCGGCUUUGUAAGUUAGAGGUGAAAGCCCGGGGCUCAACCCCGGAAUUGCCUUUAAGACUGCAUCGCUAGAAUUGUGGAGAGGUGAGUGGAAUUCCGAGUGUAGAGGUGAAAUUCGUAGAUAUUCGGAAGAACACCAGUGGCGAAGGCGACUCACUGGACACAUAUUGACGCUGAGACGCGAAAGCGUGGGGAGCGAACAGG